rnacentral:ncRNA from 3 species
GCUUUGCACUAGGGGUGUUCUUUAGAAGAACUGAGAUAGAUUGAUUCAAUCUAAUCCCUUCGAACCUGUAAGUUCAGACUUGCGUAGGAAAGUGCUCCCUUGCUUAU